AUGCCCUCCGCGAGGACUGCGCCUAGCCCCUCUUCUCCGGCGCUCCUCGGCCAUCCCCGACCCUCUGCUUGGUCGCCAGGGACGUGCUGCUCCGCGCCUGCUCCAGAAAUCCAGAAAUCCAAGAAUCUAGCUCGUAGGCACUCGCAGAUGAUUAUCGACGAGAAUCAGAAGGUCCAUUCGGAGCUGGAUUGCAAGAUGCAGGAUCUUGAGCUCAAAUCCAAGAAGCUUGAUGAGCUUGCUGUGCGUAGCGAAUCUGACAGAAGGAAUCUAGAGAAGGAGAAGGAAAAGAACAUGAUCAAAGCAAAAUAUCUCAAGAUGGCAACAUUGGAGCAACAGAAGACUGACGAAAAUGUCCUGAAGCUUGUGGAAAAACACAAGCACAAGCAUGGCCAUCCACCAACAUGCAAAACAAGUUCCAGACCAAAAAUAUGUGUUUCUUGCUGUUUACUCAACUGA
rnacentral:rRNA from 1 species